GAGAUGCCCUUAUGGGGCAAGACUUCCUUCAAUGGGGCAUUGGUGCUCACUCAGUCUGCCCCCUGAGUGUGUCCCU
rnacentral:pre_miRNA from 1 species